rnacentral:rRNA from 1 species
ACUCCUACGGGAGGCAGCAGUGGGGAAUAUUGCACAAUGGGCGCAAGCCUGAUGCAGCCAUGCCGCGUGUGUGAAGAAGGCCUUCGGGUUGUAAAGCACUUUCAGUUGUGAGGAAGGUGGUGUCGUUAAUAGCGGCAUCAUUUGACGUUAGCAACAGAAGAAGCACCGGCUAACUCCGUGCCAGCAGCCGCGGUAAUACGGAGGGUGCGAGCGUUAAUCGGAAUUACUGGGCGUAAAGCGCAUGCAGGUGGUUUGUUAAGUCAGAUGUGAAAGCCCGGGGCUCAACCUCGGAACUGCAUUUGAAACUGGCAGACUAGAGUACUGUAGAGGGGGGUAGAAUUUCAGGUGUAGCGGUGAAAUGCGUAGAGAUCUGAAGGAAUACCGGUGGCGAAGGCGGCCCCCUGGACAGAUACUGACACUCAGAUGCGAAAGCGUGGGGAGCAAACAGGAUUAGAUACCCUGGUAGCACAGGGG